AACCCAUGUUGAGGACAUUUCCGUAGGAGCUCCUUGAACCUAUCCGAUGUCUCAAAUAGAGACUCCAAUUCUGUUUGCACAAAAGAGGAUAUUUCAUUCCUAAGCUU